AAGCAGAGGUAUCAAAGCAGGGUGCAUUCGGGAAUGCGGACACAGGUGGUGCAUGACUGUCGUCAGCUCGUGCCGUAAGGUGUUGGGUUAAGUCUCGCAACGAGCGCAACCCUCUUGUUUAGUUGUCAACCGUUGAGGUUGGAACCCUGAGCAGACUGCCGGUGAUAAGCAGGAGGAAGGUGAGGAUGACGUCAAGUCAUCAUGCUCCUUAUGUCCUGGGCGACACACAUGCUACAAUGGUUGGGACAAAGAGUCGUGAUCCCGCGAGGGUGAGCUAACUCCAAAAA